rnacentral:rRNA from 1 species
GACGAACGCUGGCGGCGUGCUUAACACAUGCAAGUCGAACGCUGAAGCCCAGCUUUUGUUGGGUGGAUGAGUGGCGAACGGGUGAGUAACACGUGAGUAACCUGCCCCCUUCUUUGGGAUAACGCCCGGAAACGGGUGCUAAUACUGGAUAUUCACUGGUCUUCGCAUGGGGGUUGGUGGAAAGGGUUUUUCUGGUGGGGGAUGGGCUCGCGGCCUAUCAGCUUGUUGGUGGGGUGAUGGCCUACCAAGGCUUUGACGGGUAGCCGGCCUGAGAGGGUGACCGGUCACAUUGGGACUGAGAUACGGCCCAGACUCCUACGGGAGGCAGCAGUGGGGAAUAUUGCACAAUGGGCGCAAGCCUGAUGCAGCGACGCCGCGUGAGGGAUGGAGGCCUCCGGGUUGUGAACCUCUUUCGCUCAUGGUCAAGCCGCAACAAUGGUUGUGGUGAGGGUAGUGGGUAAAGAAGCGCCGGCUAACUACGUG